UCGCUCCCUACUUCUGCUCUGGCUUCGCCUUCUAUAGUCUCUGUCCUGAUAAUCCUCUCGAUACCUUCACAAAUGGCUAGCACUCAUAUUAAAAAUAAAGAUAAUUCAUCUGAAAUACUAUACCAAUUUUAGUACUAUGAGUAACAGAGCUAUCAUCCCAGCUGAAAAUUUCUUAAGUUAUAUUGUAUAGGUCUAAUUUGGUGCCUUCGUGGUACCAUUUGGGCACUUGAGCAAUAACCAUGAAACACAACACCAUUUUGCAGGGGCCCUUGUAUGCUAUAGCCUAUCACAAAGUUAAACGAGACAGCUAGGAGUACAUCUCUACUAAAGUAGUGAAGUGUGCCUAUUCCAUUUAGUGCAAGCAACACUUUUCUUUGUUUAUUGGUUAAUAAGCCUAAACAUGAGCAGUUUGGGAGACAAACAAAUUUAGUACGUAGCAAGAUACACAAAGUCAGUAAGGGCAUGAGGUCAUAGCUAGCUUUUCCUUCAGUGCAUGCAAUUUUGAAACAUCAUACACAAAGGGAACAGAGGGAGUACCAAGUAUGUCAUUGUCAAGAUUCAAAUAUGCAGGCUAUUUCUUA